CGACCACUUAUCGCCGUCUUCAUAAGCACGGACCAAAGGCCGUAAUUUUCUCCGUUCAAUAUAUUUCCGCCGAUGUUGAGGGGCUGCGUAUCAAUCUUAUAUGAUACGGCAGUGGUUUCUGUUGUAUUUGAGGAGGGUACAAGGAAAGAAAGAAUUUAGAAAGGAAAGAAACGGGAAAGGGCCGAGAAAGGUAUCAAGGACGAUGAUGAUACCUAUUCUGAGUCCAAACCCGCUCUGAUACCAUGUUAAAUGGUAUAGGCAUCAUAUUUAGAGAGGAUAGCAAUAUUUAGAGAAGAAAGCAAAAGGAAUAUAUGAAUUGUAUUUUUAUCGGAUGAUUGAAAGAUUCCCAACACCCAUAUAUUUAUAGGGAUGUUAGGAGACUCUUGAAGUACUACAAUAAAUGUGUUCCUUGGAACUACUAA